AACGAACGCUGGCGGCAUGCCUAACACAUGCAAGUCGAACGAGACCUUCGGGUCUAGUGGCGCACGGGUGCGUAACGCGUGGGAACCUGCCCUUAGGUUCGGAAUAACUCCCCGAAAGGGGUGCUAAUACCGGAUAAUGUCUUCGGGCCAAAGAUUUAUCGCCUUUGGAUGGGCCCGCGUUGGAUUAGCUAGUUGGUAGGGUAAAAGCCUACCAAGGCGACGAUCCAUAGCUGGUCUGAGAGGAUGAUCAGCCACACUGGGCCUGAGACACGGCCCAGACUCCUACGGGAGGCAGCAGUGGGGAAUAUUGGACAAUGGGCGAAAGCCUGAUCCAGCAAUGUCGCGUGAGUGAUGAAGGCCUUAGGGUUGUAAAGCUCUUUUACCCGGGAUGAUAAUGACAGUACCGGGAGAAUAAGCUCCGGCUAACUCCGUG
rnacentral:rRNA from 1 species